AUCUCCUGUUGGUUGCUUAACUUCUAGAACAACCUGUAGUUUCUUGGACUUCCCCUGCUUUCCUGCCUCAACAUCUUGAUUCACUGUGUCUACAGGACUUUGUAGGUUACAGGAUUUAUCUGGAAACUCUCUUUCCAUUUGUGUAUAAAUGAAUCUCACUGGCUGCCACAGCUAUUUCUUGGAGGAAUAAAAGCAAACGCUUGGACACUGAGGAGUGGAUUGCCCAUCUGCCUUCUAUCAUUAAAGGACACGGCAACGCGACCCUCGCCAAAUGCUGUUGCCUGGAUCUUGGACUCCCUGGCCUCCGUAAUGGUGUUGUGUGGGGUGCUGGAUCGUCAGGGCAGAGGAAGAGCGAGAUGAGGGGAAACACUCAGAGUUCCACACAGCUGCUGUAACCAGAUACCUCAGCCACAAUUUUGUGAUUGAUAAAGGAUGAAAGAAGAUGAAAGAAGAACCUGGAAGAAAAGGAAUUACCAACAGUCAGCUUUCAGAAAUCAGUAGAAAGUUUUCAGAAACAAUGUUUGAUGCUUACUCUGGAAUGCUGGGAAACGAGGAGAAACACUAUGCUUUUCACAGCAUCACAGACGGUACUGGACCCUUCCUAUCAAUGGGACCAUUUCAGGGCUGCCACUUGGCCAGGGCAUCGCAGUGGGCUGUUGGAUCAGACCGAGAGGCACCAAUUCAAACGCCCCCGGCAAGAACCUAUGUCAGGUGGAUGGGAUGGUUAUAAACGGCAGAGCUAUGCCUGCUAUCAAGGAUUAGAAUGAAAAUAUCUGAGCAGCCUCAGCAGACAGUAGCUGGUGGCACCUCAGGAGACCGGAAAAGCCCUACCUGCCAGGACCCCUAGACCCAGCCCUUGCCUGUCUUGAAACAGCAAAGGGAGUGAUCUUGGGGACACCAGAACAGUCUGCUUGCAGAGAUUAGGAACAGGACAGCUUAUUCCAGUCAAACAGCGAGACUAAAAGUGAGUCUAAGGCUCCAGCCUCUCCAGAUUCCUCCUGGCCCACGCAUGAACAUGGUCUCCGUGGCCAUCGAUUCUUCUGAGCCCACCUCCUCCACGUGAGUACACACGCUUGUCUACCUAUGGUCUGUGAAAGUGCACAGACUUUGGGUCAAACAGAUUUGAGUGUAGAGUCUGGCUUAGAAUUCCAGACCCAGCUCUUCUUCACUGUGUGAUUUGGGGCAAAAUAACCUGGCCUCUGGAAGCCUGAGUUUUUCAUCUGUAAAAUGAAAGCAGCACUAUUUUUCACUACGAUGUGCCAGCACACCACCCAUCUAGACCCUAAACAAGGUGGACCCCAGCUGGCUCCCUGGUGACCAGCUCCAAAAUGCCUUCCUUUGGACUUCACGUUCUGUGAGAGAACGCAAACCCUGACAUCUGGUUUCAUCCAGUUCCUUAGCUUUUCAGUGACAGGCAGCUGAACUCAAUUGUUAAUUGACUGAUCUCCAUUGCAUAGGGUUACUGUGAAGCGCAUAUGAGAUCACAGCUGUUAAAGUGCCAAACCACGUGACUUAUUUAGGACUCCUGACUUUCCUAAUGUUGCAUGGAGGAUAUUUAAUCAUAAAACAGUUAAAUCUGGCAUAGUGGGCUACCAAGAAGAAGGCAGGGUUCCGCUUACCAUACUGAGAGAGGGAUUGAGGCAGAAACUCCCUGGAACUAUGGGCAGCAACAAAGGAGGGAGGGCAGGUCACCUGUGCAGAAGAACAUGCACACACACAGGCAUGCACACAUAUUUGUACACGGGCACACUCAUCUGCACACACACAUGCACGCAUACGUGCACACCCUCCAGCACACAUGUGUUCAGAUCAUGCUCUCAUUUACACGUGCACACGGGCAUGCACACUCAUGCACAUGUACUGUUGACUCUAUCUUGAGCUUACACAUCAAAGCCACGAUCUGGUUCAGUACUUACUUGUUUAUUGAUAUUCCAUUUAGCAUUUACCAAGUACCUUCUAUGUAACUUGGCUAGGCAGUCUUUUUUUCUCAAACAAAAUCCAGUACAAAUCCUCCCUCAUCCAUGAAAUCUUUCUGGAUUCUCCAAUGGGAUUGAACUAAUCCUCAUAGAACUUUCCAUGUGCCCCUGCUUGUCACGAAUUUCAUUUACCUUCAGAGUAAAAUUGUUGCACAUACUUCUGUUUCCUUAAGUGGCUGUGGGAGCUGACAUUCUAGGCCCCAGUGAAAAGGUCUGGUCCUGAAACUGCGUCUCAGUUCUUGGCUUGAGAAAAGCACAGCUGGUUAGAAGUGCUUACACCACGGAGGCAUGAAGAGGACGUGAGGGUGGCUCAUUUUAAAAGCAAUGCGUUUAUCUUAUCUUCCAGUGCAGAGAGAGAGAGAAUCCCCUGCUUAGAGCACAGAAGCUGGUGCACCGUCCUGUGCCGCAUUGUCCUCUGGCUGCCUGCCUGGGGAGACCCCUCUCCCCUCUCCUUCCUGAACGCAGGCACGAGGAUUUGUACAUACGUGCACAUAAAUAUGGUAUUUCCCAGAGGGCCUGGCAUAAACAUUCUUAAUAUGUGCUUGUUAUAUUGCAGUGAACUAACACCCACAGUCAGUCAGGAAACAAAGUGCAUUGCAUGUUACCUGGGGAACAGUCAGCAGAACCUUGAUUUUACCUGGAGAGUCUGGGGCUGCACUUUUGGCACGUGGGAGUUCCCACAGCUACCAGUCCAGGAAUCCCAGGGUGACUGCCAUUUUCCAAGGGUUACAUCCCCCAAAUAUGUCACAAAACAUGUUUAAACAAAUACCUUGGCUUCUGCUUUUUUAUCUAUACAACAGUUCUCAACAUGGCCACAGAUUAGAAUCAAUCCUGAUGCCUUUUUAGAGUGUACAUUACCAGAGCCCCCAGGCUGACCGAGCCAGAACCAUGCCUGAGGCCAUAGCACGUCAGUGGUCUCAGAGCACACGGGAGAUUCCGUGGCACCCUUAGGCCAUAGCACGUCAGUGGUCUCAGAGCACACGGGAGAUUCUGUGGGCCCCCGAGGCCAUAGCACGUCAGUGGUCUCAGAGCACACGGGAGAUUCCGUGGCACCCUGAGGCCAUAGCACGUCAGUGGUCUCAGAGCACAUGGGAGAUUCUGGGCCCCCUGAGGCUGUAGCACGUCAGUGGUCUCAGAGCACACGGGAGAUUCCGUGGCACCCUGAGGCCAUAGCACGUCAGUGGUCUCAGAGCACAUGGGAGAUUCCGGGCCCCCUGAGGCCGUAGCACGUCAGUGGUCUCAGAGCACACGGGAGAUUCCAUGGCCCCCUGAGGCCAUAGCACGUCAGUGGUCUCAGAGCACACGGGAGAUUCCGUGUCACCGUGAGGCCAUGCACGUCAGUGGUCUCAGAGCACACGGGAGAUUCUGUGGGCCCCCGAGGCCAUAGCACGUCAGUGGUCUCAGAGCACACAGGAGAUUCCGUGGCACCCUGAGGCCAUAGCACAUCAGUGGUCUCAGAGCACAUGGGAGAUUCCGGGCCCCCUGAGGCCGUAGCACGUCAGUGGUCUCAGAGCACACGGGAGAUUCCAUGGCCCCCUGAGGCCAUAGCACGUCAGUGGUCUCAGAGCACACGGGAGAUUCCGUGUCACCGUGAGGCCAUGCACGUCAGUGGUCUCAGAGCACACGGGAGAUUCUGUGGGCCCCCGAGGCCAUAGCACGUCAGUGGUCUCAGAGCACACGGGAGAUUCCGUGGCACCCUGAGGCCAUAGCACAUCAGUGGUCUCAGAGCACAUGGGAGAUUCCGGGCCCCCUGAGGCCGUAGCACGUCAGUGGUCUCAGAGCACACGGGAGAUUCCGUGGCACCCUGAGGCCAUAGCACGUCAGUGGUCUCAGAGCACACGGGAGAUUCCGUGGGCCCCCUGAGGCCAGAGCACGUCAGUGGUCUCAGAGCACACGGGAGAUUCCGUGGCCCCCUGAGGCCAGAGCACGUCAGUGGUCUCAGAGCACACGGGAGAUUCCGUGGCCCCCUGAGGCCAUAGCACGUCAGCGGUCUCAGAGCACACGGGAGAUUCUGUGGCCCCCUGGCUAGAACACUGGACCAGAUGGUCUGCAGGUUCUCCUCUGAGUCUGAUGGUCUUGUCUAUGUUAAAAUGUCUCGGCCGGGCACGGUGGCUCACGCCUGUAAUCCCAGCACUUUGGGAGGCCGAGGCAGGUGGAUCAUGA